CAGCAGCCGCGGUAAUACAGAGGAUGCAAGCGUUAUCCGGAAUUACUGGGCGUAAAGCGUGCGUAGGUGGUGGUUUAAGUCCGUUGUGAAAGCCCUGGGCUCAACCUGGGAAUUGCAGUGGAUACUGGAUCACUAGAGUGUGGUAGAGGAUAGUGGAAUUUCCGGUGUAGCAGUGAAAUGCGUAGAGAUCGGAAGGAACAUCUGUGGCGAAGGCGACUAUCUGGGCCAACACUGACACUGAGGCACGAAAGCGUGGGGAGCAAACAGGAUUAGAUACCCGCGUAGUCCCUGUCUCUUAUAC
rnacentral:rRNA from 1 species